CCACAAGCCAGGAGAAAAUAUUUGGAAAACAUAUAUUUGAAAACAGACGUGGUUCGCAUGAUACGUGAUUAACGUCUCUGUGUAAUGAGGACUUGCAACACCCUAAUUGCUCCUGUCUGAU